rnacentral:lncRNA from 10 species
GGGUCAUAGACCUUUCUGAACUGCAGUAUCCCUGGCUGUAAAUACAUAAAGUUACAUAAACUUCCUCAUAAGCACUUUACUAGCAGUAACAAUCUAUGACUCCAAGACAGAUGAACGGCGACAGCCCUAACUGGCAAUGCCAAGAAAUCUCAGAAUAAACAAACAGCAUAUAAUUGUACGCUGAGAUUCUAGAGAUGGCCACACAAUGAGAGUCAUGCCUAGGCACUGAGAAAUGUGGACAGAGGAAAUACCCUGGUAUCUUCCACCUGAAGCAGCAGCCACCGCUGUCAGAACCCUCUGGGGAGGCUGUGAUCACCAAGAACCCAAGGGCUGGAGACGUUCCUUCUGACGGUGCUGAGAAAGUCCAGCUGCGGAGGAAAGGAGAGGGCCAGGCUAUUCAGAAAGCUUCCCAAGGAAUCCAAGCCUUCUCUCUCACAGGGAACAUAGCAGGACGAGGUCGAUCCACUGCCCGUUUCAAAAGACAGAAGGUGGAGCAUUAACCAAGAAGAUGCCAGGACCCAUCAACUUGCAUCAACUGUGAUGGUAACAGAAGAAAGAGCAAAUUCUGGCUGCAGGUCUGUCACCAAAUUGGGAGAAGGCAGAGUCAAAAUUGUGGUUCCAGCAAGACAGGGCUGCAAAGAAGCUCCUCCAGUUUGGAAGCAGAUGCUACAGCCCAGUGAGAUGGUGGUUGCGGGAAGUGAUCGCUCAGGCCUUCGCUGACAUGCUCUGAAACCGUUCCCUACGCUUGUGCUGAAACAAUUCCCAUCAGCCACUCCUAGCCACGACGGAGCAUGCCAGGGACACUGAGGCAGGCCCAUUCCUGGGAGAUGGGUCUCCCCUGACAGGUGACUGUGGCUCCAAGUUUCACCAGGACGAGGCCGACCUGCCCUGAGAACCUCAUGGUGGACUCAGCCCCCUCCUCAGAUCCCCCUUCCUCUCCCUGCGCUCCUCUGAUGGGCAUCGCCAUCCCACGGCUCGCCUCGCCUCUCUGCACCCCACCCCAUCUUCCCCCACUUGCAUGUCCCCUGAUUUUCCGGCUUUACUUUUUUGCUGGUGUCUGCUCCUCAGAGCUCCCAAGCUCCACAAAUGGUUCCAGGGAUGGUCCAAGAAAACGGUCGGUCAGAGGAGGAUUUGGGACCGGCUUGUCCACUGCCCAGAGGAUGACAAGGAUGCCAUCCUGGUUAAAGACAGGACACUGAUAGUUUCUGGAACCCGGGCCAGCUGAAGCUUCCCCCAGUAGUGACCUUGGAAAACCUCCCAGCAGAGGAGGGUCAACAAGCAGCUGUGAUUCAUGGGACAGCCGUCGGGCCUCUGUGGUAGCUCCCGAAGAGGCCCUCGUCUCUCACACGUGGGCUGAGCAGGCGCAGAGCUCCACAGCCAUCUGCGCAGUCGGCCAAGCCAGAUCUGCCAUGCAAAGGUUGGGGCUCUAAGGAGGGGACCCUGGGACCCUGAAACAUGGAUGGCUGCCCCCAGGAAUCCCCUGCAGGUCCCUCUGGCCCCUUUGUGCUUGCAGAGGUGCCCCACCCUUCCCUAAUAGGAGCUAGCACUUCUGCCAGGAUGGAGGAUGCUGCAGGGACCACUGCCCCACAAGGCAAUGGAGGCCCCUCAGGAGUUGCACCCAUGCCAUCUCCUGGCUGCUAACUGCUAUAGUUAAAUCUUAGCAUAAAUGGUCCUGGGUUUGUCCUGGCCUGAUAAGGAAGGAGGUUAUGUACUUACAGGAGGGCAAGAAUGAGCCAGCAUGACCAGCAGGAAGGGACUGCUCUGACUGGGGUCCCACGGCCUGGGAUGCUGAGACCGGGUGAGCAGAAACUUAUUGACGGGGGCAUUGUCUUGCAUUAAAAGACAAAAAUCACAAUUGAGUUUAAAGAUCGAAUUGCUUUAUUUGUGAUUCUAG